AUCACUGCCAAGAUGGCGGCAACCAGAGACACCACUACAAGCUUCAAAAAGAAUCUUCAGGAAUCCUCUGACAUCAUCAAAGGGAACAGAACCAAAGCAAAUGACAACAACAAAUCCAUCAAACUUAGCAGCAUUGAGCACAUCAGCAGUUUUCGCCAGCCCACCCGAGGCCUAAAAUGCACAUAUUGCACGCUGGCCCCCCAAGCAGCAGGCGGCCCUGGGACUCGCCAGCCCCUCUGUGGCCAGAGAGGACUUGAUAAAUGACUGGAGCAAACUUCUCUGUCACCAGCGAGGGAGGAGUCCCCCACAGUUAAUUGGAAUCCUGAACUGGAAAACGGCGGGGGAAAAGAGCAAAUAUCGUCGCCUGGAGAUCCACCGCGAGAAGACAGCGAAUGUGUGUCGAUUGUGGCGAAGACAUGAAAUGUUAACAAUGGAGAGCGUCUGUUAGGAUCCUCGGCGCGAGUUGCAUUAACUAAUAUUUUCACAACUGCGCUAAAGAGUUGCUAAUUGUCGGCGCAUGAUGCGAGAUCUAUGAAAGAAAGAAAAAAACAUUGAGAAAUCAGUUUCAGGGUUAUGGGCGCGCUAUGUUUAAUGGUGUACGGCAAACAGAGCAACACCUCGAUAUAGUAGCUUAAUGGAGAUGGAAAAGCACCAGGACAUCUUACAGUUGGCCCCUUUAAACCCGUAACCAGAAAUGGAGUUAAAGCUAAUGCGCUUAGAUGCGGAGGAAAGGUGACGCGCGCUGUCAAGGUUGCCUCUGCCUACAACGGUUUCGAAUUCUUUUAGUGUCAGGAUGCGGGACAAAUGCGGGGCCGUCACACUGGAAUGGACAGCCCUCCUCAUCGGGGCAAGCUGAAGACAAUGUCGGAUGGCCUUAUUGAUAAGUUAAUGAGGCACAAAACACUUCCUAGAAGACCCGUCCACCACCCCCGCAACCAUCUCCUCAAAUCAUUGAUUUACACAUUAUUCAGUGUUUACAUUGCAGAAAUAGUCGCUGGUAAUUAAACGCUUUAGUCCACGUGAGCUCAACUUAGCUGUUUCUUUCACUCCUCAUCCUCUGUUAUCCCACAAGGCCUCUCGCCUACAUUCUGUAUUUUGCCACCGGAUUUAGUCGACGGUCGAGCAGCAGGGAAAUCCCUAAUGAGGGAGCCCGAAAUACUUGUUUCAUGUUUGAGCAGUAACGAAAAUGACUUUUUCCUUUUGGAAUGGGCGCGCGAGAAUCACAAGAAUCACCAAGACGGCAGAUCAAGAGUAAAAUGAAGUAUGCAAAUGUAAUCAUAUUUAUCAGAGAAUGCUUAUGGCAGAAAGCUAUUAAUUUCUCCUCUGCUUCUUGACACUUUAACAUAUGCAUCACCUGCUUCUCGCAAAUGAUUAUUUUUGUGUUUUCCAUCUCCGUUGACAGAGCAUUAUUUUCUUUUCCA